rnacentral:tRNA from 1 species
GAAAUAUUAUACAAUUAAGCUGCUAACUUAAUUUUUAGUGAUUAUUCAUUAAUAUUUCU